rnacentral:lncRNA from 1 species
CUUGUAGGCUGAGGCCAACUUGUCUGUAAUUGCUGAAGUAGGUUAAAGGAGUGGACAGAUGAUUGCAGCCAUGGAAUUUGAGCUCAGCUGUGCAGUUUUCCUCGCUGCAGCAAUCAUAGCACAAGCACGGCGCUGAACACUCCUGCAAACUAUGAGGACAAGUUUCCAGUGAGCUUUGCAUCGUGGGGAGAGCAAACCCCAAUCUCCUGCAGUAUAAGGUAACAUCCCUGCGAUACGUACAUCCUGCUGUGCAGCACAGCUGCAGGGCAGAGCCCGUUUCACUUCUUUCCUUUUUUGGAUCUGCGUGCACACGGUCCCUAAUGGAGCCGGAUACCAAGAACAGAAACCAAGUCACUACAGCGCCGCACGACUACCGGUGAUCCCCUCCCCUCGGCGAUAUCACCAUAAUCGCGAACCAUCCUCAAGCCCCGCACAAACCCCGUGCCCUACAGCAGCUCUAGGUACCGGGCACAGAACGAUCAGCCCGUCCCAAAGCUCCAACACAACCCACCGACCGCAAACUUAUCCCCC